UACGUAGGGUGCAAACGUUGUUCGGAAUCACUGGGCAUAAAGGGCGCGUAGGCGGUUUGAUAAGUCCUGUGUGAAAGCCCCCGGCUCAACCGGGGAACUGCACUGGAUACUGUCAGGCUAGAGUGUAGAAGAGGAGAGCGGAAUUCCUGGUGGAGCGGUGAAAUGCGUAGAUAUCAGGAGGAACGCCAGUGGCGAAAGCGGCUCUCUGGUCUACUACUGACGCUGAGGCGCGAAAGCUAGGGGAGCAAACGGG
rnacentral:rRNA from 1 species